rnacentral:rRNA from 1 species
UACAGAGGUCCCAAGCGUUGUUCGGAUUCACUGGGCGUAAAGGGUGCGUAGGUGGCAAGGUAAGUUUGAUGUGAAAUCUUCGAGCUCAACUCGGAAACUGCAUUGAAUACUAUCUUGCUUGAGGAUUGGAGGGGAGGCUGGAAUCUCGGUGAGCAGUGAAAGUGCGGUAGAUAUCGAGAGGAACACCAGUGGCGAAGGCGAGUCUCGUAGACAACUCCUGA